UCUCCGUAGGUGAACCAGCGGAGGGAUCAUUAGUGAAUUGAAUAUGUUAGCGGAACUCUUCGCAGUCCCUAACAUCAAAUCAUAUCCACAACACCUCUGAACUGUAAGGCUGUCUUGAACACGAAAGUGACUAGCGCGCCUGCCCAUAUUAUACAAUAUUUAAAGGAACAAACGUAGUCUUAUAAAACUCUAAUAAAACUUUCAACAACGGAUCUCUUGGCUCCG
rnacentral:misc_RNA from 1 species